CGCGAUUUUCCAAAUGUCUAUUGCGCAUAAAGGAAGUACGUCAAUUGCCCACAAUUCUCUGCGACCUCUUAGUGGGGUAUUUGCGGCAAAUGUAAUUACAUACAUUGAUAGCUUUUCAUAUUCUUAGUCUUUUUUAAAUAAACAGUCUAUAGCGAUAUAUUUGUAUAUUUUCGUAUUUGAAAUAACGUUUAUAUACUAUAUAUUUCGGUUUAAAAAAUAGAUUUAAUGAAUAGAUUGAAGAAGUAAAGAGAUAUGAACCGGAAGUCAUUCUAAGCCAAAAGAUAUUUAUGUAUUUUUAAACACAUAUACUGAUGAAAAUAUUUUCGUAUUCCACCCAUUCAAGAAUUUCUAUCAAUAGGAUAAUGUCUCUUAAUAAUAAUACGCGAUUCGACCAAAAUUCAACAUUUGUGCUGAUAAACAAAAUU